rnacentral:rRNA from 1 species
GCGCACGCAGGCGGUCUGUCAAGUCGGAUGUGAAAUCCCCGGGCUCAACCUGGGAACUGCAUUCGAAACUGGCAGGCUAGAGUCUUGUAGAGGGGGGUAGAAUUCCAGGUGUAGCGGUGAAAUGCGUAGAGAUCUGGAGGAAUACCGGUGGCGAAGGCGGCCCCCUGGACAAAGACUGACGCUCAGGUGCGAAAGCGUGGGGAGCAAACAGGAUUAGAUACCCUGGUAGUCCACGCCGUAAACGAUGUCGACUUGGAGGUUGUGCCCUUGAGGCGUGGCUUCCGGAGCUAACGCGUUAAGUCGACCGCCUGGGGAGUACGGCCGCAAGGUUA